AUUAACAGCAUAACUGGUUUAGAGCAUAAAAGGGGAUGACAAUUAUGAUGGGAAGUGGCAUACCUAACACAAGUCCAGUCUGAUUCUCCCCCUGCAAUUAUUCUCCCCCUUUGAAAUUAUUAAAUACAACUUUAUGGAAAAAAAUCAAUUCGUUGUCCUUUGUUUUCUCCUUUUGUCACAGACUGGGUCAGCACUGAUUCAGAACCACAUACCAACACUUAGAAGUUAACACAGUACAGUUUCUCUCAUUUGUGAUUAAAAAUUCAGAUGCAACUACUGUAUAGAAUAAACAACUAGGUCCUACCAUGUAUCACAGAGAACUAUAUUCAAUACCCUGUGAUUAAACCAUAAUGGAAAAUAAUUUGAAAGAGAAUAUGUAGAUACAUAUCACUGUGCUCUAAACCAGAAACUAACACAGCAUUAAAAUCUGCUGUACUUCAAUAAAAAAUUAGUAAUUGGGAGUUCUGUCAAGGCUCAGGGGUUAACGAACCCAACUUGGAUCUACAAGCGUGCAGGUUCCAUCCCUGGCCUCACUCAGUGGGUUAAGGAUCAGGUGUUGCUGUGAGCGGUGGUACAGGUCACAGAUGUGCCUCGGAUCUGACAUUGCUGUGGCUAUGGUAUAGGCUGGCAGGUGCAGCUCCAAUUCAACCCCUAACCUGAGAAUUUCCAUAUGCUGCGGGUGCAGCCCUAAAAAGACAGAAAAAAAAAAAUUAGGUGCAGAGAGAGGAAGUGUCUUAUCCAAAUAUCACAGGAUUUAUUUGUGACUGGGACAGUCAUUUCAUGAUUCAUGGAGAGUAUUCUUUCUACUAUAUGUUGCCCAUUAUUACAGGAAAUUUGUUUUAUAGCUUUGGUGUUUUAUUAAGGCUGUACUGCUGUUGGUUUCAGAUUUAGCCCAUUGAUUGAAUACCUUCUAGUGCUGGGCAUUAUAAAUAUUUUCAUUUAGCAGACAUUUAUAUAGUGUUUAUUAAGAACAAGGCAUUGUUCUAAAUGCCUUUCAAAUAAUAAUGCGUAUAAUUCUUAGAGUAAUGCUAAAAGAUAGAUAUAAUUGUUAUCCUCAUUUAAAAAUUAAGAACAAUGAAGCCCAGAUUGCUUAAGUACUUGUUCUAAGUCGUAGAGCUAGUAAGUGGUGGAUUGAAAUUCAAUAGAGACUCAUUACAAUUAAACUCAAUUGCCUACCCUGGUUAUAAAUAGUGGGUCUGAUACAUAUAAAUGCAUUUGAUCAAAUUUUAAUUAACAUUAGACCAGACAUCAUAAAAUGCACAUUUUUUUUUUUCCUUAGGGAUCUAUCCGUCUAAGGAUAUUGUUAGAUCCCUAUUGAACUCAGCUAUAAUCAGAUGCUGAGAUUUGAUGUGUGCCUUAGUUACCUUGGGCUGCUGUAACAAAAUACUGUAGACUGGGUGGAUUAAACAACAGACUGUUUGUUUUUUUUUUCUCAUAGUUGCAGAGGCUGGCAGGCCCCACUUACAUAUACCAUUACUUUGGGGGUAGGGCUUCAACUUAUGAAUGGGUGGGUGACAUAAGCAGUCAGUCCACACCUUUGUGCAUAUUUAUCUUCUUUAGUCCUUACGAAAUCUAUAAACUGAACUUACUGCUUAUGGAUAUAAUUUAUAUAUCUUAGUGUGAAGCCUUUAGAAUCCUAGUACAGUGCAAAUUUAAUUGAAUGGUGUUGCCGAGAGAGACCUAAAAAUUAACCAGGAACCUAUAGAGGGAAAGGACCACACAUGGCAGCAUCUCCCCAGGUCUGCUCUGCCCAGUUACAAUGAUGUGGUGAUUGGGGAGUGACAUUGAGACUAUCGCUUGUUGAAUUAGUGAUAAUGCUUAUGGUGAUUUAAUAGUUUUGAGGAGCAUUUUUCAGGGGAAAAGUCAAAGUAAUCUUGUGCAGGAAAGUGAAUCAGAAAACACAAAUCCAAUUGCAUCAGCAGAACCCUAUAUCUUAUCAGAGUUGGGAUACCUAGUGGAGAAAUGUGGGCAAUUUAUAUUUGGACACUUGGCAGAUAAAUUUUAUUUUAUGUUUAGGUAAGGAUUCAAGACUUCUGAACUGUUUUAUUCCAUGAUUUGUUUUUUAUACUUGCUUCUUGUAACUAGCAAGUAGUGCCAAAUCAACACUGUAUUUCUGUCUUUUCUUUGUCUUAACUGUCAGAAUAAAUAGUCUGUAGAAAAGGAUGAGAAAAAGCUUUCAUCUUGAGAUGUUCAUCAGAAGAAGGGAAGGUAGAGGAAGUCCCUUCUCCAACACCAUUUGAUGGAAUCAUUCUCGACCCUUUUGUCCUUCACCCAAAAAAGUUCCAGCCUGUCAGAGACCUUCUCACGGAAUUUCGUUUAGUUCUUUGAAGACAUUAGUGGCAGGGCAUAACAAAACAGUUAUUUGUAAUGAUAGGAAAACAUCACAAACUUGUUUUUAAAAAUUGUGGCAUCUUGGAGUUCCCGUUGUGGUGCAGUGGAAAUGAAUCUGACUAGUAUCCAUGAGGAUGCAGGUUCGAUCCCUGGUGUCACUCAGGGGGCAGGGAUCCAGCGUUGCUGUGAGCGGUGGUGUAGGUCACAGACACGGCUCAGAUCCUGAGUUACUGUGACUGUGGUGUAGGCCAGCAGCUGCUGCUCUGAUCACACCUGGGAACCUCCAUAUGCCAUGGGUGCAGCCCUAAAAAGAAAAAAAAUUGUGGAGCCUAUAGAAAAGAAAGAAAUCAAGAAAGAAGGAAGGAAGGAAGGAAAGAAAAGAGAGAGAGAGAGAGGGAGGGAGGGAGGAAGGGAGGAAGGGAGAGAGAGAGAGAGAGAGAGAGAAAGAAAGAAAGAAAGAAAGAAAGAGAGAAGGAAAGAGAGAAGGAAAGAGAGAAAGAAAGAAAGAAAGAAA
rnacentral:lncRNA from 1 species